rfam:Ancylostoma duodenale strain Zhejiang A_duodenale-1.0_Cont1167.6, whole genome shotgun sequence.
CCAACGGCCCUCUUUAGGGCCACAUAUCCUAUCGAAUACUACCAUA